CACGUGAGCAACCUACCCUUGACACUGGGAUAACAGUUGGAAACAGCUGCUAAUACCGGAUAUGAACCUCUCAGGCAUCUGAGAGGUUGGAAAGCUCCGACGGUCAAGGAUGGGCUCGCGGCCUAUCAGCUUGUUGGUGAGGUAACGGCUCACCAAGGCGACGACGGGUAGCCGGCCUGAGAGGGCGACCGGCCACACUGGGACUGAGAUACGGCCCAGACUCCUACGGGAGGCAGCAGUGGGGAAUAUUGCGCAAUGGGCGAAAGCCUGACGCAGCAACGCCGCGUGCGGGAUGACGGCCUUCGGGUUGUAAACCGCUUUCAGCAGGGACGAAACUGACGGUACCUGCAGAAGAAGCACCGGCUAACUACGUG
rnacentral:rRNA from 2 species